UCAUUCUCUUUAUUAACUUAUGCCAAUUCUUCCAUGACCAUGUUAUUUCUUUUUACUCAGUGGACCUUCUUAUGUGUGCUUGAUACUUGAAUGGUAGAAGUGCAAACAGAGGCUUUGUUGAUAGCGGAAAAUCACUGCAUGAAAAUAAAAUGUUGUCGAGUGCUUCAAGUGAUGACAUGCUAUUUGUGCCUAAGAGGUCACUGGUUCAAUCCUUGGAAGCAGCUUCUGGCAGAAAUGCAAGGAGUAGAUUGAAGAUGAAUAUGACGAUAAAGGCUCUGUGGCAUUGACCAUUCAUACUACGGUGAAAAAUGACUUUCCUGCCUUUACAACUUCUGUAAAAGUUGAUGGUUACGAAUGUGUGCUUUUUGAGAAUUUUACUGUCACAUCUCUUCAAGUGGUUUUACGAAGAUCAUAUUUUGCUACCAGAAAUCAAAGGACAACAGGAAAAACAGUGUAGGGGGAGAAUGUGUCCGGACCACAAUUUUGCUCUGCUCCAUUUAAGUAUCAAGUUGGAGUAGAGAUAUCAACAUGGACAAAAUUGUCAAGCUGAAGUAGAGAUACCAACAUGGGCAUAGAGUAAGGCUAGCAACAAAUGUCAAUUCUUGGGAGCUUGUCUUAAGUGCUUGAACAUAUUUAGGUUAAAGAGGAUCUAACAUAAUGCAAGACUUUAAUUUGGGUGCUUUGCUUAUCUUAUGUCAGUAUACAUUUUCUUAAAGGAAAUGUUCACUUUAUCAAACCUAAACUCUGAAAUUGUAUUGUACUCAUUCACCUUUGAUGAUCAAAUACUUGGG